UAUUCUGCCCAUGCGGGAAGGAUGAGAAGCUUCGACCAAGGUUCGAUUCGAGCGUAGCGAGAAAGCGUUGCCGCAGGCAACGACCCGAAGGGCGAAGCGCGCAGCGCUGAGUCAUCCUUCCCCCACUACCA
rnacentral:sRNA from 1 species